rnacentral:rRNA from 1 species
GACGAACGCUGGCGGCGUGCUUAACACAUGCAAGUCGAACGAAGAGCGAUGGAAGCUUGCUUCUCUCAAUCUUAGUGGCGAACGGGUGAGUAACGUGUAAUCAACCUGCCCUUCAGAGGGGGACAACAGUUGGAAACGACUGCUAAUACCGCAUACGAUCUAACCUCGGCAUCGAGGAUAGAUGAAAGGUGGCCUCUACAUGUAAGCUAUCACUGAAGGAGGGGAUUGCGUCUGAUUAGCUAGUUGGAGGGGUAACGGCCCACCAAGGCGAUGAUCAGUAGCCGGUCUGAGAGGAUGAACGGCCACAUUGGGACUGAGACACGGCCCAGACUCCUACGGGAGGCAGCAGUGGGGAAUCUUCCGCAAUGGACGAAAGUCUGACGGAGCAACGCCGCGUGAGUGAUGACGGCCGUCGGGUUGUAAAGCUCUGUUAAUCGGGACGAAAGGCCUUCUUGCGAAUAGUGAGAAGGAUUGACGGUACCGGAAUAGAAAGCCACGGCUAACUACGUG